rnacentral:other from 1 species
GCUCCCCUGUCGGGUGCGUGAGUCACGAAAUGGCUCUGACCUACAAAUAGAUUCAUCGGGAGCCUUCCCUUAUUGCGGUGUGCAAGCCUAUCACAGAAUAGGAAGCCUAAAGCAGUAACCAAGGCGACCACCUAACUCUUUGGGUUAGGAGCAUUAGGACCACGGCUUUAAGGUGGGGGAGCA